GGAAAAUCUGCAGUAGAGUGCUGUGUCUGUUUUUAAACUUUGUGUUUGCUGUAGUCCAAUACCAAUGAAUUCCUCGCUAUCAAGAAAAUCUAGCUUAACAAAGGAAAUUUGUGAUGGACUGAGUGGCAUUAAGUAACAAGCUAGACUAAAGGUCUCUUCGACUGCUGCCCUCACUGCAGAUUUUGAACUGACAAAGAAGAACUGUAACUGAUUUCAAAGUUUUCUUUAAAUGUUGGGAAAGAAGAUGAGCCAGCAUUCUGAAAAGGAGCUGGUUAUAUCACAUAGAAGUCCUAGAGGAGGUGGUAGAAGAGAAAGCCCCAUGAUGAGAACUCUGGCAGUCCUGCCCAGUAGGAGCCCCAUCAAGUCAGCAAGAUACAAGGCUGUGGUGAACACUGCAGGAAGAUCUGCUGAUUGGUCUCACAUUUGCCUUACUUGUGAAGAUCAUCCCCUCUAUACCUUGAUCUGAGACCGCUUGUGCCACAAGGUUCUUUCUCAGCUGCCCUUGGCAUUGCCUUUCAUGCAGUUCUGUUUUCUAGGAAAAUGACUGCCCCAGUUCCUUGGAAUGUCUGUCCUUCUGAAUCAACAUGGUGGCCAUGACAUUGGCCAAAGUGCUGUGAGUUAAAGAAGAAAGAGACUUGGACCUUGUCCAUAUAUACUGGAUUAGCCAGGGGCUGGCGGUCAAGUUCUGGACUCAGGCCGACCUGCAGUGGAAUGGCACCUUCUCCACCUACCAGCUUGAGCAAGUUAUAUAGAUUCUUGUAAGUCCCAAUGUUUCCUUCCAUGUUGAUGGGCCUGAUCAGAGUAUCUACCUCAUAGGCUUGUUGUGAGGAGUAGUGUAAUAAUAA
rnacentral:lncRNA from 1 species